rnacentral:rRNA from 1 species
CCUACAGGGGUCAGCAGUGGGGAAUAUUGCACAAUGGGGGAAACCCUGAUGCAGCGACGCCGCGUGAGUGAAGAAGUAAUUCGUUACGUAAAGCUCUAUCAGCAGGGAAGAAAUACUGACCUUACUGUCAGCAGACGGUACCUGAGUCAGAAGCACCGGCUAACUACGUUCCAGCAGCCGCGGUAAUACGUAGGGGGCAAGCGUUAUCCGGAUUUACGGGGUGUAAAGGGAGCGUAGACGGUGCGCCAAGUCUGGAGUGAAAUGCCGCAGCUUAACUACGGAAAUGCUUGGGAGACUGGCGAACUAGAGUGCGGGAGGGGUAAGCGGAAUUCCUAGUGUAGCGGUGAAAUGCGUAGAUAUUAGGAGGAACACCGGUGGCGAAGGCGGCUUACUGGACCGUAACUGACGUUGAGGCUCGAAAGCGUGGGGAGCAAACAGGAUUAGAUACCCCUGUAGUC